rnacentral:rRNA from 1 species
GAUUGCCUCAGUAACGGCGAGUGAAGCGGCAACAGCUCAAAUUUGAAAUCUGGGUCUUUCAGGCUCCGAGUUGUAAUUUGUAGAAGAUGCUUCGGGUGUGGCUCCGGUCUAAGUUCCUUGGAACAGGACGUCAUAGAGGGUGAGAAUCCCGUACGUGACUGGUUGCCUUCGCCCAUGUGAAGCUCUUUCGACGAGUCGAGUUGUUUGGGAAUGCAGCUCAAAAUGGGUGGUAAAUUUCAUCUAAAGCUAAAUAUUGGCCAGAGACCGAUAGCGCACAAGUAGAGUGAUCGAAAGAUGAAAAGCACUUUGGAAAGAGAGUUAAACAGUACGUGAAAUUGUUGAAAGGGAAGCGCUUGCAACCAGACUUGCACGCUGCCGAUCAUCCGGGGUUCUCCCCGGUGCACUCGGUUGCGUUCAGGCCAGCAUCGGUUUGGGUGGUUGGAUAAAGGCCUUGGGAAUGUAGCUUCUUUCGGGGAGUGUUAUAGCCCUCGGUGCAAUGCAGCCUACCCGGACCGAGGACCGCGCUUCGGCUAGGAUGCUGGCGUAAUGGUUGUAAGCGACCCGUCUUGAAACACGGACCAAGGAGUCUAACAUCUAUGCGAGUGUUUGGGUGUCAAACCCAUACGCGUAAUGAAAGUGAACGGAGGUGAGAACCCUUAAGGGUGCAUCAUCGACCGAUCCUGAUGUCUUCGGAUGGAUUUGAGUAAGAGCAUAGCUGUUGGGACCCGAAAGAUGGUGAUCUAUACUUGAAUAGGGUGAAGCCAGAGGAAACUCUGGUGGAGGCUCGCAGCGGUUCUGACGUGCAAUCGAUCGUCAAAUUUGAGUAUAGGGGCGAAAGACUAAUCGAACCAUCUAGUA